CAGAAGAGGGAGAUCCAGGGCACAGAUCUGGUUAAACAUUUCGCCCUCCAGAAAGGGAAAGGGCUUGAAGGGAAACUGAGGGAAGUUACCCAUGAAAGCGGUGCAAUGCUGAGAGACUGGGAGGAUCCACAGCGUCAAAGGGCCGACAGUAGGCAGCAAGUAAUACAGUGUAUUUCCCCCAGCUCAGAGCUGGGAGCCAGCGGGAGCCCCCCGGCCUACAGAAAUAGAGGUUACGUCACCGCAGGGAACACGUGUGAGAUAGACCUGGGCCGUAUGUUCUUGUGCACACACAAUAAAUGGUGUUCGUUAGGAGCUGUUGUUGGAGUCCCUUUCCUCAUCCGCUGUCACAGUGCCCUGGAGGGAAACCCUUGCAGGGUCCAGUCCUGGUUGGAGUCCCUCCUUGUGAGUACCAUCAGGUCGUGUGCAAGCCAAGCCCUGUCUCACACCCGGUGGCUGAUGCAGCGGUGCGGCCGGACACGGCCGAGACGUGCAGGUGGGCAGACCCGGAGAACGUGACACGCAUCACAAUGGCCCCUUCUAGAACCGGCUCGUCGCCGUGCGGCUCUUGGAGACGCACACAGCAGGUCAACUGCUCCCGACCCGACACUGGUUGUUGUCAGGUCACACCCGUGUCCUUGCGAUCACCCUGACCGCAAGGCUACAGAAAACUGGAGAGCUUCUUAUCCCAGGAUACAACCAUGGGAUCCUUUGGAGACACAGGAAGGGAAGGAGAAGAUGCUAUUGAGGCUAACUUGGCCCUGGUUGAGCACUGAGGAAAAGGGCUGAGGGCUCAACCCAACAAGAACAGUUUUUCUGUUGGCUUUCUUGGUAAUUGAACUGACCCCUAAAUUCUGCUUCCAUUUUCAUUGGUUGCCGUCCAUUGACUCUGGGGGAUUUACAUAAGCAAAACCUGAUUAUUAAAGUGUUUUGUGUUGGA